CCUGGCCUUGAAUGCCUCCAGGGAUGGGGCAUCCACAACCUCCUUGGGCAACCUGUUCCACUGCGUCACCACCCUCUGGGUGAAAAACUUCCUCCUUAUUUCAGCCCAUCAGAACAAAAUAAAUUCCCUAGACCAUUGCUGGAAAGGAAGGAAGCAGAUUUGCAACAACUCCUAUCUGUUAACCUAAAAUACUGUCAUUUGAUAUCUUUUUAAAGCAUAUAUAAAUAUAUAUAGCUGCCCAAACUAACUUUCAUGGCAAAAUCUGCUUUCAAGCUUAGGACCUCAAACACUCAUUGACAUCCAUGUGCAACUCACUGAAGGAGAGCACUGUGAGAGAUGGGAGAAGAGGGAGAGGGUUUGUGUCUGUAAGGAGCACUUAGAACCAGCAGGAGCAAUCAGGAGCUGGCCUAGCAAAUUUUACAAUAAAUCAUUUUGAUGAUUUUAUACUGAUUUCAAUGAGUGCUACCAAUUUUAGUUAUGGAUCGAGAGCACUCAUCGUAGCACUGCAGAUUGCAAAGCCAACGAUAUUAAGAACUUAAGUGUUUUCAGAUUUUCUUCUCCCCAUGCUUUGAUGACAGCGAAGGAACACG
rnacentral:lncRNA from 1 species